AUGAUCAAGAAAAAUAUAUGAAAGAGAUUUUAGUGGCAGUCUCCAUCUCAAUUUUAGUAACAUUCAAAUGGAGGCUAACUUUCUGCCAUUUGAUAAGUUGGGUCAUAAGUAAUUUGGCAUAGGACAAGUUAGAGGAUUCAAUCAUUUUCUAUUAAUAUGCCAAGAAACAAAGUUGAAAUAUUGAUAAAUGGGUACACGAUAAUCUGAGGCAACUGGAUAAUUUCUUUAUUCUAAGGAACUAGCAGAAUUGUUUUAAAGCCCUAAAUGCUUAAUCACACGGAAAAUUAAUAUGUUGGAGGAUGUAAUACCAAUAACUUACUUUUAUUGUUGGGAGAACAGGAAAUAGUCUUUUGGUUGAUAGGUUGUGAAACAGCUGCAGUUAAGGAAAUCUAAAAUUUUCAGCUUUCUUAUCCAUGUCCUAGUUAGAUUAGAAAAUGGUUAGAAAAUUAUGAACCAACUUAUUUUGGGUUCAAGAAACCCCUUGUCGUCCUCUACUUCCCCACCAAAGCAACUCUGACAGCAUUAUUCAAUCAAUUUUGUGCAGCUGCAACUGAAGGCUUCUAGACAACAAAGAAUAAUUCCCAAAAUUUUUGUUAAUACCCUAUUCCGAUCUCACAGGUUGGACAUAAGAAAUAAUAAUGGUCACCAUCUAUUUUUUUUUGUACCAACUUUAACCCCUCCAACCUCAUUUUUUAGCUUUUGUCAAUAAUAAUCCCUAACUCCAUUUCCGUUCUUAUUGAUCCUUUUAUCAUAUUUAUCCUACACUCAUGAUGUUCAUGCCUGCUUUUGUGAGUUAAAUCUCAUAGAUGAUCCCUCAUCACUUAAUUUCAACUAAAUUUCAGUUAGUAACACAAAAGUCGCUGAACUUUAAUUUUAUUAGUUGGUGAAAAAUAUUCUCUUUUUUUUACAUUGAAAAAUCAAAUAGCUUGCCAGAGAGUAUUUCCAAUAGUCUUACUAAAACUAAAAUUAAAGUUCAAUGAUUUUUACAUUAGAAAUUGAAAUAUAGUUGCCACACUAAAAUUAAGAGAUAAAUUGUGCAACCACAAGUGUAAUUUGCCCUUCUCUUCCCUGCUUUGUAUCCUGGAAUCAGACAAUAUUGAUUAUAAUUAUCGAAUUCACAAAUUCAAUAUUUGCCAUCCAAGGUUAUUCCAAGUUUCCAUGUGAAUCCAACAUGUAUGAAGUCAUUUCCUAGCAAAGGAGGGCAAAAUCAAUUCUUCUCCUUGUUUAUCCUCUUCGUACUAUAAUGCAUAGAAAAUGACAUCAUGCUGAUUUCUUAGGUUGCACGUCUCAUUUCCAUCUUUUAAGUAGUCUGAUGGCUUGAAAACCUUGUUCUUUAUCUUUCUAAUAGU
rnacentral:misc_RNA from 1 species